rnacentral:lncRNA from 11 species
UCCAGAGGCACUGUGGUUGGCAGCCCCUCUGACUCUUCUUGCCACACUCCGGCUCUAAUGCUCUUCCCAGUUUGACCACAGGCUCCCCAUUCAGGGCAAGGGCCUAGCGGACGCUGGGAGCCUCACUUUGGUGGUCUCUUUCUAUCCCCGACAGAUCUUCCUGCCCCAGACGUCGCCUGCUGUGGACUGGGGCCCUGUUCUUUCUGUCUCUCCUGGGGAAUCCCUGCUGCUGACAGUAAAAGGCUGGCGGGGAGGGGGCUCCCUGGGUGUCCACGCUCAUACACGCCCCCCACAGCCCUUGGGACUUUUCCUCCUGCAGUGGAACCAGCAACUUCUACAGCCCAGAGCUGUUGAUUCAGGUAUAGGGAUGGGGCACUGGAGCCAGGAGAGCCGCUGUCUCAGACCAAAACCCGGCCCAACUACAGUGCGGAUAUCUGUGAGGUAGGUGGGAGGGUGGAAUCAUGAAUAAGAAGAAAUACUGAACACUAACCCUGUUGGUGCCCCCUUGCAGAUGGCUACUCCUGGCUUGUUGGGCUGGAGGUACUCCGGGCCCAUGGGGGAGCCCCCCGUUUUCUGCUGGUGCCGCUGAACCUCUCUGCAGAGGCCCCUCCAGUUUCCAUGCGCCUCAGGGCCUAUGGAGUCCAGUGCCUCUCCUGGGACCCCUCCAGUGCCCAGUGGAGAGCGGAGGGCUGCAAGGUGGGAGCAGCUCUGCUGCCGGAGGAGGACCCCUGUGCCCAGUAUGUCUACCUGCUCUCCGUCACCCCGCAGGAGCCCCCCGGACCCGGCAACAGCCCCGGGGUGAGAGUUGCGCAUUUUCCCAGGAGGACUACGUGGAAGGGGUUCCUCAGUCGGAUGCACCACUCAUUCUGCCCCAUUUCCUUGCCCACUGCCAGCUCUCCAUCAGCCUCCAGGGAUCCUUUGGCACCAGCAAAGCCCCGCCGCCUUCCUUGUCAAGGCACUUUCCUGUUGCGUGAGCCCUGUCCACUGGGGGAGCUGCAGGGCAUCUGGCUGUGGCAAGAGAGCCUUG